CCGGGGCUGGGGUCUGGGUGGGGCAAAAAGGCGUCGCACUCCUCCCAGGGGGCGCCAGAGCGCGCUAAAGAUCACGCCCACGUGCAAAGAUGCUCGGCGGGAGGCUGGCCUCCAAGCGUUCCGGCCGGAUCCUCCCAGCUGCGGAGGCCCGGGGCCUCGUACUGCCUCCACCUCCACCUGCACUCUGAGCCCAAGUCUUUCCUCCGCAUCCCCGGGAUUUCAGACCUGCCUUCCUGCCUCUCCCAGGUUCCCACCCUAGGCGAUUGGGGCUGUGUUGGGCUCACGUCCCGCCGCCUUUCUCCGUGCGUCGAGUUCGUUCGCCCCGGCCUCGCCGCGUACCACAGAGAGACUCUGGAACCCCCUCCUAGGCACAAACCAGGCACUGUCGUCAGGCCAGCACCCCGCUUCGCCGGGUGGGGGGAUUAAGAGAAUUUCCUGGCCGAAGCCGAGGUCCCCACUACUCCAAAUUCGACGUCUCUCUCUAAAUCAAACCUCACCUUCCCGCUCCCUGUCUCCCACCCACUGUCCAGACCAAGCCCGGCAGUCCCCCUCUCUACCCCACACCUACUGGCCCUCCGCACUCCACCAGGGGAGCCCAACAGAAGGCGCAGGGUUAAGGUCUCCUCUCUCAGCAUAAGCCCAGGCCGACACGCACCUGAAGGGCCGGGGAGGUGCCUGGGAUAGGGGUGGGGUCGCGUUUGGAAAAUGGUCAGGGCCCCCAGCCCCAGCCUCUCCUCUCUGUCGGGGAGGACCGACUUUGCCUGGCAGUGGUCUGGCUGCCCGGCACCUCGCGGCUCCCCGCCUGAGCCGGGCCCCAGGCUGCCCCUGCCCCCAGCCCGCUCCAGGCCCUAUAUAUAGCGCGGGUCUCCAUAGUCCUCGGCUGGACCCUGACGUCAGGAAGAACUUGAUCUUGCCUGCUUCGCUCCUGCUUCUGAAACUGAUCCUUGAAAUGAGAGAACAGACUCUACACAAUUCCCAUGGCCUUGACAUAAGCAUGCUCUUAGCUGAGGACUGCCUCCUGCCCCCUUCCCAGCGUGGAGGUUUUGGAUGCAAUAGCCACCACUAUCUGCCAGCGGAGUUUCUGAACAUCAUGCAAGAGGCUGCUAACCACAGACACAGAGGGAAGACAGAGAGAAGGGGGCCUUCUACAAGCCAAGGAAAGAGGCCUGGAGAGGAUCCUUCCUUCCCGACCCUCAGAAGGAACCAUUCCUGUUGACACCUUGAUCUUGGACUUCUAGCCUCCAGAACUAUGAGAAAAUAAAUUUCUGAUGUUUAAACCAGCCACAAUGUGAUCCUUAGCAGCCAUAGCCAACUAGUACCAACUAUCGACUCAAGGGCGAUCUUGUUCCACCUAAACCC
rnacentral:lncRNA from 1 species